UACAGGGGGGGCGAGCGUUGUUCGGAAUUACUGGGCGUAAAGGGUUUGUAGGUGGCUUGCUCAGUCAGACGUGAAAUCCCUCAGCUUAACUGGGGAACUGCGUCUGAUACUAGCGAGCUUGAGUGCAGGAGAGGAACGCGGAAUUCCGGGUGUAGCGGUGGAAUGCGUAGAGAUCAGGAAGAACACCGGUGGCGAAAGCGCUCUGCUAGGCCGCAACUGACACUGAGGGACGAAAGCUAGGGGAGCGAAUGGG
rnacentral:rRNA from 1 species